rnacentral:rRNA from 1 species
GGAGUUUGGACCGUGUCUCAGUUCCAAUGUGGCCGUUUACCCUCUCAGGUCGGCUACUGAUCGUCGCCUUGGUGAGCCGUUACCCCACCAACUAGCUAAUCAGACGCAGGCCCAUCCCAUACCGAUAAAUCUUUGACAGUCCUAACAUGCGAUAAAACUGUGUUAUGAGGUAUUAAUUACCGUUUCCAGUAGCUAUCCCUUUGUAUGGGGCAGGUUGCCUACGCGUUACUCACCCGUCCGCCGGUCGCCAUCAUAAAUAGCAAGCUAUCUAUAUGCUGCCCCUCGACUUGCAUGUGUUAAGCCUGUAGCUAGCGUUCAUC